AACACACACACACAAACACACACACACACACACACUUGCAUACAUGUGCACAUUGCAACAUUGCGUUGUGUUUGUAUCUUUUCUCAUUUCCGUUGGGUUUCGCUUGCAGUUGGCACACUCGACCAAACUUUGCACGGCUUCUGCGGUUGAGUUUACAUGCCACAACACCUUUUUCCAACUGAACAUUGGCGAUGAUGCUAUGGGCAACAUGAGGUGUACGACUUGUGCGCCAACAACAACACCUUGUAUACAACUGUCCCCACUGCUCCCACCCACUCUGUGACCAAUAAGUUUUCACGCCUAAGCAUUGUUUACGGAACAUUUAACAAUUGCAGCGUCAGCGAAAACAAAAACACAACUCAUUUUAAAUGUAGAGAAGAUGCGGACUUAAAGUGGCUUUAAACAGCCGCUGGACACAUACUUAGUGAGAGGCACUGUCGACCAGUGUAGAGCGGUUGCGGAGGCAGACAUUCGAACGGCGGUAGGACGAAAGGACGAGCCAAGCAAUUGGCUACAUUGUAAGGAUGCGCUGGUGGUGGUGGUAAGUAUGCUGAUAUUGCAUGCCCCGGACACAUGCCCCGGGUUGUUAAAGCUGCCACAGCAUUUGCAUAAAGUAUAAUGGCCAUCAUCCUGACUGGGCUCGCUGCCUAGCUGCCUGGCUGGCUGGCUGGCCCAUUCAAUUUUCCGCUUUUUCCAUGCCUGCUUUGCUCAAGCGACAGAUGGACAUUUGGAGAGACAGAUGAAGAGGCGGACAGUCGGACAGACCGGCGUCGUCUUUGAACUUUUCACAAUGCUCUCGUCUUGGGCUGUCCUGAAACAUUUGUACCACACUUUAUGCAGGACAUUUCCGCGCCGCAUGUCCAGUUCCUGGUUGGAUUCCAAAUGGUGGCUGACUGGCUGAAUGGCUGGCUGGCUGGCUGGCUUGCUGGAUAGUUACUUUGCUCGAUUUCGUCUUGGCUCUGUUUAUUUCCGCUUUUCCAUCUGGCUUUGUUUCCUGAUGACCGUCUAUGGCGCGUAAAAAAUCAAUUUACUUUUAUCUGUUUCAGUUGCUGUCUCUUGUCUUGAUAAAUGCCAUGCAAAUCACAACUUUGUA